CCCUUAGAUGUUCUGGGCCGCACGCGCGCUACACUGACCAGUGCAACAAGCAUCCGUCCUUGGCCGACAGGCCCGGGCAAUCUUUGAACGCUGGUCGUGAUGGGGAUAGACUUUUGCAAUUUUUGGUCUUCAACGAGGAAUUCCUAGUAAACGCAAGUCAUCAACUUGCAUUGAUUACGUCCCUGCCCUUUGUACACACCGCCCGUCGCACCUACCGAUUGAAUGGUCCGGUGAAGCCUCCGGAUUGGCGCGCACCCCGGUGCCGCCGAGAAGUUGGCUAAACCUUACCAUUUAGAGGAAGGUGAAGUCGUAACA
rnacentral:rRNA from 1 species